GGGAUAGAGCAGUGUUAGGAUAACUGACUUUUUUGUUGUUCUCUGGGUGCAUUCUUCCCGCUCCCCCUCUCUCUCCCCCUCACCCUCUCUCUCUCCUCUCUCUCUCUCCCUCUCCCUCUCUCUCUCUCUUUUAAAAAAUCAGCCAUUUGGGGUUUUAAGCCAUAAACGAUUUUUCUUGUUGCAGGGGAUUGCAGAGGCAAAGCUAGACUAGGUCUUGGAGGCUGGUGUAAGGCGGUGCGCGGAAGGCAGGACGCUGAUGGGAGAGACUGGUCGAAGAAAAGCCGAAAUGGAUUCUCCGUGCUUUGGAUGGAGAAAGAGGGGGGAAGUGCGAGCUCCUUCAACUCGUUCUGUCCGGUGAGGAGUGAUCCAGCUUGGGCUGACGAGAGGCUCCGGAGCCUUCACGUUCAGUGCUUUUUACCUGCCAAUCAAACUGCUACAAGACAACACCCUGAUCUGGCAUGGUCGCCGCGGGUCCAAGCCUGUAGUCCCAAAUCGGAAAAUCUCUGCAGCUGGUACACGCAAAAGAGAAGCCAGGCAACAGACAUAUUACAGAAGAAAGCUCUCAACUCCGAGAUCGAACCUAGAAAUUGUACUUUCCUCAAGAUCCGCUUAAGAGAAUCUGGUUGAUGGCUUUGGUCUGAGAGUUCAGACAUCUCUUGUGCAACUAAGAAAGACCUCAUUUUCCAUUUGCUGGAUCCUCCUGGUUUGUCAUCCCUGAGUCCUGUAAGAAGCUCAUCAGGAGGUCCCCUGCGCCGGAAGGACCAUGUGAGUUCAUCCCAGAUGAUGGGUGGCACCAUGGUUU
ensembl:processed_transcript